UAGGGAAUAUUGGACAAUGGGGGCAACCCUGAUCCAGCCAUGCCGCGUGAGUGAAGAAGGCCCUCGGGUUGUAAAGCUCUUUUGUCCGGAAAGAAAAGCAUUCGGUGAAUACCCGGAUGUUCUGACGGUACCGGAAGAAUAAGCACCGGCUAACUUCGUGCCAGCAGCCGCGGUAAUACGAAGGGUGCAAGCGUUACUCGGAAUUACUGGGCGUAAAGCGUGCGUAGGUGGUUGUUUAAGUCUGAUGCGAAAGCCCUGGGCUCAACCUGGGAAUGGCAUUGGAAACUGGGCAGCUAGAGUGCGGUAGAGGGUAGUGGAAUUCCCGGUGUAGCAGUGAAAUGCGUAGAGAUCGGGAGGAACAUCUGUGGCGAAGGCGACUGCCUGGACCAGCACUGACACUGAGGCACGAAAGCGUGGGGAGCAAACA
rnacentral:rRNA from 1 species